AUUGAACGCUGGCGGCAGGCCUAACACAUGCAAGUCGAGCGAGUGGCGGACGGGUGAGCAAUACAUCGGAAUCUACUCUGUCGUUGGGGAUAACGUGGGGAAACUUACGCUAAUACCGCAUACGAUUGUAUGAGCCGAUGUGGGAUUAGCUAGUUGGGGGGGUAAAGGCCCACCAAGGCGACGAUCCGUAGCUGGUCUGAGAGUAUGACCAGCCACACUGGAACUGAGAAACGGUCCAGACUCCUACGGGAGGCAGCAGUGGGGAAUAUUGGACAAUGGGCGCAAGCCUGAUCCAGCCAUACCGCGUGGAUGAAGAAGGCCUUCGGGUUGUAAAGCCCUUUUGUUGGGAAAGCGGUACCCAAAGAAUAAGCACCGGCUAACUUCGUGCCAGCAGCCGCGGUAAUAC
rnacentral:rRNA from 1 species